CCUACGGGAGGCAGCAGUGAGGAAUAUUGGUCAAUGGACGAGAGUCUGAACCAGCCAAGUAGCGUGAAGGAUGACUGCCCUAUGGGUUGUAAACUUCUUUUAUAUGGGAAUAAAAUGUUCCACGUGUGGGAUUUUGUAUGUACCAUAUGAAUAAGGAUCGGCUAACUCCGUGCCAGCCGCCGCGGUAAUACGGAGGAUCCGCGCGUUAUCCGGAUUUAUUGGGUUUACAGGGAGCGUAGGUGGCUUGUUAAGUCCGUUGUGAAAGUCUGCGGCUCAACCGGCAAAUUGCAGGUGAAACUGGCAGUCUUGAGUAGAGGAGAGGUGGGCGGAAGUCGUGGUGUAGCGGGGAAAUGCUUAGAUAGCACGAAGAACGCCGAUUGCGAAGGCAGUUCACUGGACUGCAACUGACACUGAGGCUCGAAAGUGUGGGUAUCAAACAGGAUUAGAUACCCGGGUAGUC
rnacentral:rRNA from 1 species